GAUGAACGCUGGCGGCGUGCCUAAUACAUGCAAGUCGAGCGAAUGGAUUGAGAGCUUGCUCUUAUGAAGUUAGCGGCGGACGGGUGAGUAACACGUGGGUAACCUGCCCAUAAGACUGGGAUAACUCCGGGAAACCGGGGCUAAUACCGGAUAACAUUUUGAACCGCAUGGUUCGAAAUUGAAAGGCGGCUUCGGCUGUCACUUAUGGAUGGACCCGCGUCGCAUUAGCUAGUUGGUGAGGUAAGGGCUCACCAAGGCAACGAUGCGUAGCCGACCUGAGAGAGUGAUCGGCCACACUGGGACUGAGACGCGGCCCAGACUCCUACGGGAGGCAGCAGUAGGGAAUCUUCCGCAAUGGACGAAAGUCUGACGGAGCAACGCCGCGUGAGUGAUGAAGGCUUUCGGGUCGUAAAACUCUGUUGUUAGGGAAGAACAAGUGCUAGUUGAAUAAGCUGGCACCUUGACGGUACCUAACCAGAAAGCCACGGCUAACUACGUGCCAGCCGCCGCGGUAA
rnacentral:rRNA from 1 species